UACGUAGGGUGCAAGCGUUGUCCGGAAUUAUCGGGCGUAAAGAGCUCGUAGGCGGUUUGUCGCGUCGAAUGUGAAAACCCGGGGCUCAACCCCGGGCCUGCAUUCGAUACGGGCAGACUAGAGUUCGGUAGGGGAGUCUGGAAUUCCUGGUGUAGCGGUGAAAUGCGCAGAUAUCAGGAGGAACACCGGUGGCGAAGGCGGGACUCUGGGCCGAUACUGACGCUGAGGAGCGAAAGCGUGGGGAGCGAACAGG
rnacentral:rRNA from 1 species